UACGUAGGGUGCAAGCGUUGUCCGGAAUUAUUGGGCGUAAAGAGCUCGUAGGUGGUUUGUCUCGUUGUCCGUGAAAUUCCCUGGCUUAACUGGGGGCGUGCGGGCGAUACGGGCAGACUGGAGUACUGCAGGGGAGACUGGAAUUCCUGGUGUAGCGGUGGAAUGCGCAGAUAUCAGGAGGAACACCGGUGGCGAAGGCGGGUCUCUGGGCCGAUACUGACGCUGAGACGCGAAAGCGUGGGGAGCGAACAGG
rnacentral:rRNA from 1 species